rnacentral:rRNA from 1 species
AAAUUGAAGAGUUUGAUCAUGGCUCAGAUUGAACGCUGGCGGCAGGCCUAACACAUGCAAGUCGAACGGUAACAGGAAACAGCUUGCUGUUUCGCUGACGAGUGGCGGACGGGUGAGUAAUGUCUGGGAAACUGCCCGAUGGAGGGGGAUAACUACUGGAAACGGUAGCUAAUACCGCAUAACGUCGCAAGACCAAAGAGGGGGACCUUCGGGCCUCUUGCCAUCGGAUGUGCCCAGAUGGGAUUAGCUAGUAGGUGGGGUAAC